AUUAACGCUAGCGGUGCGCCUAACACAUGCAAGUCGAGCGGGAUUGAGAGAAAGUUUACUUUUGAUCAUGAGAGCGGCGAACGGGUGAGUAAUAUGUUGGCAUCUACCCCCAAGUCAGGGAUAGCCCACUGAAAAGUGGAUUAAUACCGGAUAGUCUCUUAGGAGUAAAAAUUUAUUGCUUGGGGAGGAGCCUACAUUCUAUCAGCUAGUUGGUGAAGUAAUGGUUUACCAAGGCUAUGACGGAUAGCUGGUCUGAGAGGAUGAUCAGCCACAAUGGAACUGAGACACGGUCCAUACUCCUACGGGAGGCAGCAGUGAGGAAUCUUCCACAAUGGGCGAAAGCCUGAUGGAGCGACACCGCGUGAAGGAUGAAGGUCUAACGACUGUAAACUUCUUUUCUGAAGGAGCAUAAUGAGAGUACUUCAGGAAUAAGCACCGGCAAAACUCGU
rnacentral:rRNA from 1 species